CUUCACGAUGCUUCCAGGGGCUCUUUGCCCGUCCGUCCCUAAACACACAAACUGACCCGGACCCUGUAGGAGUCACGUGUCCCGGGCUGCUGGCGUAUUAAUUUCUUCACACCCUUUUUGCAGGGAUAACGGCUAGCAAGGCUGCAGCUAAUAGAGCUGGUCCCAGCUGUCUCCAUGGUAACGUUGUACCGUAUCAAUGUCACCUUCAUCCCGCCAAGAACAUGGUUCAUAGGACCAAGCCCAGUCAUCUCCAUGGUAACAUUGUCCCCUAUCGACAUCACCUUCAUCCCUCCAAGAACAUGGUUGCACAGAGACCAAGGCAUAAAGGUAGUUUCCCGCUUAUCUGGACAUCAAACCGUGACUCCCCAGCGACCCUGAACUUGAGCAGUGUUGAGGGAGCAGCGGCUGAUCUCAUUCUGUGAAAAACAAUUUAAGAGAUAACAAGACAUAUGAAGAUGAAUACAGCAAACAGCCACAUACCCACCUCCUGGCUUUGCCAAUAGAGCGAAGGUCUCCAGCAUGCACCUGCCCACUUUCCUGCCUUGGACCCCACCAGAGACCGAGACCGUUCUAAGUCUGGUGUUUAACAUGUCUUAGCACGCCUUUAUGUCAUUACAGAGAAGUGGGUUUUGCAGGCUUUUCGAUUUUAUUGAUUUUUUUACUUUUCUUUUUAAUGUUUAUUUUUUUCUUUUUUUAAACAUUUUGCUUUUUUUUUUAAUUUUU